CAAUGUAACAGCAGUGCAGC
rnacentral:miRNA from 1 species